CUUGGUGUUACUGCGAAGGGGGGACGGAGAAGGCUAUGUUAGCCGGGCGACGGUUGUCCCGGUUUAAGCAUGUAGGCUGGUUGUCCAGGCAAAUCCGGAUAAUCAAGGCUGAGGUGUGAUGACGAGGUACUACGGUGCUGAAGUAACAAAUGCCCUGCUUCCAGGAAAAGCCUCUAAGCAUCAGGUAACAUCAAAUCGUACCCCAAACCGACACAGGUGGUCAGGUAGAGAAUACCAAGGCGCUUGAGAGAACUC
rnacentral:rRNA from 2 species